rnacentral:rRNA from 1 species
CCGGGGGGCGUGCUAAUACAUGCAGUCGAACGCGUUGGCCCAAUUGAUUGAUGGUGCUUGCACCUGAUUGAUUUUGGUCGCCAACGAGUGGCGGACGGGUGAGUAACACGUAGGUAACCUGCCCAGAAGCGGGGGACAACAUUUGGAAACAGAUGCUAAUACCGCAUAACAGCGUUGUUCGCAUGAACAACGCUUAAAAGAUGGCUUCUCGCUAUCACUUCUGGAUGGACCUGCGGUGCAUUAGCUUGUUGGUGGGGUAACGGCCUACCAAGGCGAUGAUGCAUAGCCGAGUUGAGAGACUGAUCGGCCACAAUGGGACUGAGACACGGCCCAUACUCCUACGGGAGGCAGCAGUAGGGAAUCUUCCACAAUGGGCGCAAGCCUGAUGGAGCAACACCGCGUGAGUGAAGAAGGGUUUCGGCUCGUAAAGCUCUGUUGUUAAAGAAGAACACGUAUGAGAGUAACUGUUCAUACGUUGACGGUAUUUAACCAGAAAGUCACGGCUAACUACGUGCCAGCAGCCGCGGUAAUACGUAGGUGGCAAGCGUUAUCCGGAUUUAUUGGGCGUAAAGAGAGUGCAGGCGGUUUUCUAAGUCUGAUGUGAAAGCCUUCGGCUUAACCGGAGAAGUGCAUCGGAAACUGGAUAACUUGAGUGCAGAAGAGGGUAGUGGAACUCCAUGUGUAGCGGUGGAAUGCGUAGAUAUAUGGAAGAACACCAGUGGCGAAGGCGGCUACCUGGUCUGCAACUGACGCUGAGACUCGAAAGCAUGGGUAGCGAACAGGAUUAGAUACCCUGGUAGUCCAUGCCGUAAACGAUGAGUGCUAGGUGUUGGAGGGUUUCCGCCCUUCAGUGCCGGAGCUAACGCAUUAAGCACUCCGCCUGGGGAGUACGACCGCAAGGUUGAAACUCAAAGGAAUUGACGGGGGCCCGCACAAGCGGUGGAGCAUGUGGUUUAAUUCGAAGCUACGCGAAGAACCUUACCAGGUCUUGACAUCUUGCGCCAACCCUAGAGAUAGGGCGUUUCCUUCGGGAACGCAAUGACAGGUGGUGCAUGGUCGUCGUCAGCUCGUGUCGUGAGAUGUUGGGUUAAGUCCCGCAACGAGCGCAACCCUUGUUACUAGUUGCCAGCAUUAAGUUGGGCACUCUAGUGAGACUGCCGGUGACAAACCGGAGGAAGGUGGGGACGACGUCAGAUCAUCAUGCCCCUUAUGACCUGGGCUACACACGUGCUACAAUGGACGGUACAACGAGUCGCGAACUCGCGAGGGCAAGCAAAUCUCUUAAAACCGUUCUCAGUUCGGACUGCAGGCUGCAACUCGCCUGCACGAAGUCGGAAUCGCUAGUAAUCGCGGAUCAGCAUGCCGCGGUGAAUACGUUCCCGGGCCUUGUACACACCGCCCGUCACACCAUGAGAGUUUGUAACACCCAAAGUCGGUGGGGUAACCUUUUAGGAGCCAGCCGCGUAAGGUGACCAGU